rnacentral:lncRNA from 1 species
UUUUUUCGGGUGAAAGCCUAGGCCCUGCAGUGAAGGGUCGGACCAUGGCGUCGAUCCACGUAGCUUCCCGUCAUGUGGGCGUCGUCUUGAAGAAUGUGAUUCCCUGCAUGCUUUCCCGGGGGUGUACUUGCACGACAUCGUCGGAGGUGGUCGGUGAUGCGAGAUGUGUUGACUGGAGGGGUCCUGAGGUGGAGCGGUG